rnacentral:lncRNA from 1 species
GAUGGUCUUUUGGUAAAUGGAUAUCACUUACUCAGGAAGACCUUACAACCAUUUCUCCUCUUCUAUCUGCACAGUGAGAGUAAGAAUGCUUGUUCUACAUAACUGGAAGCUCAAAGGAGAUGGUAGAUAUGAAGGUUCUCCUGAUUUGGAGAAGAGCGAGAAAUGCCCAGCUCAGAACCUUGGAGACAGUGCCAGCGAUGGAAGAAGAGAAGUUGUCGGGAGAAAGUGAACAAAUGAGGGAUGUUCUGAAGUUCUUGCCUGCUGUGUGCCUAAGCACUACCCACCCCGUGUCUCUUUCUGUGGACCUGGUCUACUUGUAUCCAUGUGCCUUCCUUUCUUCUCCAUCUUCCUUUUUGCUCCUGUCUUCCCUGUUCCCUUCCUCCAUCUCCCUCCCUGCACACCGUCCUUUCUCCUCCUCUCUUACUUUAUCCUCAAGAGUAUUAUUAGUUUUUAUGCAAUAA